rnacentral:rRNA from 1 species
GACGAGCUCCCCAAACGUUAUUCGGUAUUACUGGGCUUAAAGAGUUCGUAGGCUGUUUAGUAGGUGAGGUGUGAAAGCCCUCGGCUUAACCGAGGAAUUGCGCUUCAAACCGCUAGGCUUGAGGGAGGUAGGGGUAUGCGGAACAGAUGGUGGAGCGGUGAAAUGCGUUGAUAUCAUCUGGAACACCGGUGGCGAAAGCGGCAUACUGGACCUUUUCUGACGCUGAGGAACGAAAGCUAGGGUAGCGAACGGG